AUACGGAGGAUCCGAGCGUUACCCGGAUUUAUUGGGUUUAAAGGGUGCGCAGGCGGGAGAUUAAGUCGGCGGUGAAAUUUUGCAGCUCAACUGUAAAAGUGCCUUCGAAACUGGUUUCCUUGAGUGUAGAUGAAGUAGGCGGAAUUUGUGGUGUAGCGGUGAAAUGCAUAGAUAUCACGAGGAACUCCGAUUGCGCAGGCAGCUUACUAAACUACUACUGACGCUCAGGCACGAAGGCGUGGGGAUCAAACAGGAUUAGAUACCCUGGUAGUCCACGCAGUAAACGAUGAUUACUAGCUGUUUGCGAUACAAUGUAAGCGGCUGAGCGAAAGCGUUAAGUAAUCCACCUGGGGAGUACGUUCGCAAGAAUGAAACUCAAAUGAAUUGACGGGG
rnacentral:rRNA from 1 species